GCAACUCGCCUGCAUGAAGUCGGAAUUGCUAGUAAUCGCGGAUCAGCAUGCCGCGGUGAAUACGUUCUCGGGCCUUGUACACACCGCCCGUCACGCCAUGGGAGUCGGUAACACCCGAAGUCUGUAGCCUGACGCAAGAGGGCGCAGCCGAAGGUGGGAUUGAUGACUGGGGUGAAGUCGUAACAAGGUACC
rnacentral:rRNA from 1 species